GCUGUAGCUUAGUGGUAGAACCUCUGCCUUGCAAGUACAAGGUCCCUGGUUCGAUCCCUGGCAUCUCCA